GGGGAUGUGGCUCAGUGGUAGUGUGCUUGCUCUCCAUGUAUGAGGCCCUGGGUUCCUUCCCCAACAUCUCAA
rnacentral:tRNA from 1 species